rnacentral:rRNA from 1 species
AGAGUUUGAUCAUGGCUCAGAACGUACGCUGGCGGCACGCCUAACACAUGCAAGUCGAACGAAGUAGCAAUACUUAGUGGCAGACGGGUGAGUAACAUGUAGGUAUCUGCCCUUUGGCCUGGAAUAACACGAGGAAACUUGUGCUAAUACCGGAUAAGUCUUUACAGAGAAAGCUUUAUGCACCAUUGGAUGAGCCUGCACUUGAUUAGUUUGUUGGUGGGGUAAUGGCCUACCAAGACUGUGAUCAAUAGCUGAUUUGAGAGGAUGAUCAGCCACAUUGGGACUGAGACACGGCCCAAACUCCUACGGGAGGCAGCAGUGGGGAAUCUUGCACAAUGGAGGAAACUCUGAUGCAGCGAUGCCGCGUGAGUGAAGAAGGCCCUUGGGUUGUAAAGCUCUUUCGUCGGGGAAGAAAAUGACUGUACCCGAAUAAGAAGGUCCGGCUAACUUCGUGCCAGCAGCCGCGGUAAUACGAAGGGACCUAGCGUAGUUCGGAAUUACUGGGCUUAAAGAGUUCGUAGGUGGUUGAAAAAGUUAGUGGUGAAAUCCCAGAGCUUAACUCUGGAACUGCCAUUAAAACUUUUCAGCUAGAGUAUGAUAGAGGAAAGCAGAAUUUCUAGUGUAGAGGUGAAAUUCGUAGAUAUUAGAAAGAAUACCAAUUGCGAAGGCAGCUUUCUGGAUCAUUACUGACACUGAGGAACGAAAGCAUGGGUAGCGAAGAGGAUUAGAUACCCUCGUAGUCCAUGCCGUAAACGAUGUGUGUUAGACGUUGGAAAUUUAUUUUCAGUGUCGCAGGGAAACCGAUAAACACACCGCCUGGGGAGUACGACCGCAAGGUUAAAACUCAAAUGAAUUGACGGGGACCCGCACAAGUAGUGGAGCAUGUGGUUUAAUUCGAAGAUACGCGCAGAACCUUACCAACACUUGACAUGUUCGUCGCGACUCUAAGAGAUUAGAGUUUUCGGUUCGGCCGGACGAAACACAGGUGCUGCAUGGCUGUCGUCAGCUCGUGUCGUGAGAUGUUGGGUUAAGUCCCGCAACGAGCGCAACCCUCACUUUUAGUUGCCAUCAUUAAGUUGGGCACUCUGAAAGAACUGCCAGUGAUAAGCUGGAGGAAGGUGGGGAUGACGUCAAGUCCUCAUGGCCCUUACGUGUUGGGCUACACACGUGCUACAAUGGUAUCUACAACAGGAAGCAAGACUGCGAAGUUAAGCAAAUCCCUAAAAGAUACCUCAGUUCGGAUUGCACUCUGCAACUCGAGUGCAUGAAGCUGGAAUUACUAGUAAUCGUGGAUCAGCGUGCCACGGUGAAUGCGUUCCCGGGUCUUGUACACACCGCCCGUCACACCAUGGGAGUUGGUUCUACCUUAAGGCAAGGUUUAAAACCCUUGACCACGGUAUAGUCAGCGACUGGGGUGAAGUCGUAACAAGGUA